rnacentral:rRNA from 1 species
GACGAACGCUGGCGGCGUGCCUAACACAUGCAAGUCGAGCGGGGAGAAGAAAUCGUUUUUCUCUUUAGCGGCGGACGGGUGAGUAACACGUGGGUAACCUGCCUCAAAGUGGGGGAUAGCCUUCCGAAAGGAAGAUUAAUACCGCAUAAAAUCAUAGCACUGCAUGGUGCUGUGAUCAAAGGAGCAAUCCGCUUUGAGAUGGACCCGCGGCGCAUCAGCUAGUUGGUGAGGUAACGGCCCACCAAGGCGACGAUGCGUAGCCGACCUGAGAGGGUGAUCGGCCACAUUGGAACUGAGACACGGUCCAGACUCCUACGGGAGGCAGCAGUGGGGAAUAUUGCACAAUGGGGGAAACCCUGAUGCAGCAACGCCGCGUGAGUGAUGAAGGCCUUCGGGUCGUAAAGCUCUUUGAUCAGGGACGAUAAUGACGGUACCUGAAAAACAAGCCACGGCUAACUACGUGCCAGCAGCCGCGGUAAUACGUAGGUGGCGAGCGUUGUCCGGAUUUACUGGGCGUAAAGAAUGCGUAGGUGGAUAUUUAAGUGGGAUGUGAAAUCCCCGGGCUCAACCCGGGAACUGCAUACCAAACUGGAUAUCUGGAGUGCAGGAGAGGAAAGCGGAAUUCCUAGUGUAGCGGUGAAAUGCGUAGAUAUUAGGAGGAACACCAGUGGCGAACGCGGCUUUCUGGACUGUAACUGACAUUGACGCACGAAAGCGUGGGGAGCAAACUGGAUUAGAUACUCUGGUAGUC